AUUGAACGCUAGCGGGAUGCCUUACACAUGCAAGUCGAACGGAGUGGCGAACGGGUGAGUAAUGUAUCGGAACGUGCCCAGUAGCGGUGGAUAACUACGCGAACGCGUCGCUAAUAACGACUACUAUUGGAUACGCCGCUAUCGGAUUAGCUAGUUGUUGGGGUAACGGCUCACCAAGGCGACGAUCCGUAGCUGGUUGGAGGGGACGACCAGCCACACUGGGAUUGAGACACGGCCCAGACUCCUACGGGAGGCAGGAGUGGGGAAUAUUGGACAAGGGGAGAAAACCUGAUCCAGCCAUCCCGCGUGUGCGAUGAAGGCCUUCGGGUUGUAAAGCACUUUUGGCAGGAAAGCGGUACCUGCAGAAUAAGCACCGGCUAACUACGUGCCAGCAGCCGCGGUAAUUC
rnacentral:rRNA from 1 species